rnacentral:misc_RNA from 1 species
GAGGAAGAACGUAGCGAAAUGCGAUACUUGGUGUGAAUUGCAGAAUCCCGUGAACCAUCGAGUCUUUGAACGCAAGUUGCGCCCGAAGCCAUCAGGUUGAGGGCACGUCUGCCUGGGCGUCACAUAUCGUUGCCCAAUGCCUAUUGCAGUGCAAUAGGAAUUUCUAGGGCGAAUGAUGGCUUCCCGUGAGCGUUGUUGCCUCGCGGUUGGUUGAAAAUCGAGUCCUUGGUAGGGUGUGCCAUGGUAGAUGGUGGUCGAGUUAGAACGAUACCGAUCAUGUGCAUGCUCCCCAAAAUAUGGCCUCUAUGACCCACACGCGUCUUUUGACGCUCAUGACGAGACCUCAGGUCAGGCGGGGCUACCCGCUGAAUUUAAGCAUAUCAAUAAGCGGAGGA